GAACCAUCUCUGUAUACCAUUAAAGCAAUUUUCAUCUUGGACAGCUUUGGGCAGCGACUUUUGGCUAAGUAUUAUGACAACACAUUUUCAUCAACAAAAGAACAGAAGAGCUUUGAGAGAAAUGUCUUCAACAAAACUCAUAAGACAGAAAGUGAGAUUGCUUUCUUAGAAGGCUUAACUAUAGUCUAUAAAAGCAGCAUUGAUCUUUUCUUUUAUGUGGUGGGGAGUUCCCAUGAAAAUGAGUUAAUGCUGAUGUCAGUUCUUUCCUGUCUCUUUGAAUCCCUCAGUCAUAUGCUGCGAAAGAAUGUGGAGAAACGAAUUCUGAUAGAAAACAUGGAUGGGGUAUUCCUUGUAGUGGAUGAGAUUGUUGAUGGAGGUGUGAUUAUGGAAAGUGAUUCCCAGCAAGUCAUCCAGAAGCUGAAUUUUAGAACAAAUCCGGAGCCUGCAGCUUAUGGCUUCAUUCUCUUUGAUUAUAUCACCAGCAAUUCGGAUCAAAGUGAAAUUAUAUCGGAAAAGUUGUACAAAUAUUGAAACAUCUUUCAAAGUGGGAAGCAGAAGUGGAUGACAGCUCUUUAGCAGAGCACAGUGUCACUCAGGUGCUGCAAUCUGCCAAAGAACAAAUUAAGUGGUCCUUAUUA